rnacentral:misc_RNA from 1 species
UGGCCUAUAUUUUUCGGUCCAUGGAAGAGAAGAAUGCUUGAUAGUUUGUUCUUUCUGCUUCAGAGGAGAGGCACCAGUGGUUGAAUCUUUCCGAUUCACAUUUGUUUUUAAAGAGUUGCCCUCUGCUUUCUGAGGGCUUUUUUUUGGCACCAAAGCAACUUUCUUCACAUGGUCCGUUGCCUCACCACGUGCAAGGGCUUUUGCAUUUGAUGACCGUAUCAUGUCAAACAAUCCAUCCUCAGUAAGGAAGGGAGUACCAAGCUCUUUU